UACAUGGGGUGCAAACGUUGCUCGGAAUUAUUGGGCGUAAAGCGCACGUAGGCGGUUAGUUAAGUCGGAUGUGAAAUCCCUCGGCUCAACUGAGGAAGUGCAUCCGAAACUGGCAGGCUUGAGUACUAAAGAGGGUCGCGGAAUUCCCGGUGUAGAGGUGAAAUUCGUAGAUAUCGGGAGGAACACCGGUGGCGAAGGCGGCGACCUGGGUAGAUACUGACGCUGAGGUGCGAAAGCGUGGGGAGCAAACAGG
rnacentral:rRNA from 1 species